rnacentral:rRNA from 1 species
CAGUCGCCACGGUAAUACGGAGGGGGCUAGCGUUGUUCGGAAUUACUGGGCGUAAAGCGCACGUAGGCGGCUUGGUAAGUUAGAGGUGAAAGCCUGGAGCUCAACUCCAGAAUUGCCUUUAAGACUGCCGAGCUAGCAGGUGAGAGAGGUAAGUGGAAUUCCGAGUGUAGAGGUGAAAUUCGUAGAUAUUCGCAGGAACACCAGUGGCGAAGGCGGCUCACUGGCUCGAUACUGACGCUGAGGUGCGAAAGCGUGGGGAGCAAACAGGAUUAGAUACCCCGGUAGUCCCUGUCUCUUAUAC